rnacentral:rRNA from 1 species
AUACGGAGGGUGCAAGCGUUACUCGGAAUCACUGGGCGUAAAGCGCGCGCAGGCGGCUAUUUAAGUUGGAUGUGAAAGCCUACGGCUCAACCGUAGAACUGCAUCCAAAACUAUUUAGCUAGAGUGUGAGAGAGGAAGAUGGAAUUAGUUGUGUAGGGGUAAAAUUCGUAGAGAUAACUAGGAAUACCAAAAGCGAAGGCAAUCUUCUGGAACACUACUGACGCUGAGGCGCGAAAGCGUGGGGAGCAAACAGGAUUAGAAACCCUAGUAGUCC